rnacentral:rRNA from 1 species
GGGGAACCAGGACUUUUACUGUGAAAAAAUUAGAGUGCUCCAGGCAGGCCUAUGCUCGAAUACAUUAGCAUGGAAUAAUAGAAUAGGACGUGUGGUUCUAUUUUGUUGGUUUCUAGGACCGCCGUAAUGAUUAAUAGGGACAGUCGGGGGCAUCAGUAUUCAAUUGUCAGAGGUGAAAUUCUUGGAUUUAUUGAAGACUAACUACUGCGAAAGCAUUUGCCAAGGAUGUUUUCAUUAAUCAGGAACGAAAGUUAGGGGAUCGAAGACGAUCAGAUACCGUCGUAGUCUUAACCAUAAACUAUGCCGACUAGGGAUCGGACGGUGUUAUUUUUUGACCCGUUCGGCACCUUACGAGAAAUCAAAGUGCUUGGGCUCCAGGGGGAGUAUGGUCGCAAGGCUGAAACUUAAAGAAAUUGACGGAAGGGCACCACCAGGGGUGGAGCCUGCGGCUUAAUUUGACUCAACACGGGGAAACUCACCAGGUCCAGACACAAUGAGGAUUGACAGAUUGAGAGCUCUUUCUUGAUUUUGUGGGUGGUGGUGCAUGGCCGUUCUUAGUUGGUGGAGUGAUUUGUCUGCUUAAUUGCGAUAACGAACGAGACCU